rnacentral:tRNA from 1 species
AUACUUGUUGUCUAGUGGUUUAAGACCUUGAACUCAUAAUUCAUUUAUCAUUGGUUCGAAUCCAAUCAAGUAUA